AAAUAUUUACGCACAGAUAGAUAACUUCAUUUACUACAAUAUGAUACGAUGACUCGCUCGUAUUAUGGGAGGAGUUGGUACCUGCAGGCAACAACCUAAAUGCUCGGAUUUGUGGGCCAAUUCUUCAGCAAAGAUUAUCACAAUUUAUGUAUGUAUAUUAUUAUUAUUAUUCACAAUCGAACCGAGUUUAUAUAAAGUUGUUGAAGGUAAUGCCAUUUUUUUUUUCUUUCU